rnacentral:tRNA from 1 species
GGUUUGGUAGUUCAAAUUGGUUUAGAAUACGUGCCUGUCACGCACGAGGUUACGGGUUCAAAUCCCGUCCAAACCG